UACGUAGGGGGCAAGCGUUGUCCGGAAUCACUGGGCGUAAAGGGUGCGUAGGCGGGUCUUUAAGUCAGGGGUGAAAUCCUGGAGCUCAACUCCAGAACUGCCUUUGAUACUGAGGAUCUUGAGUCCGGGAGAGGUGAGUGGAACUGCGAGUGUAGAGGUGAAAUUCGUAGAUAUUCGCAAGAACACCAGUGGCGAAGGCGGCUCACUGGCCCGGUACUGACGCUGAGGCACGAAAGCGUGGGGAGCAAACAGG
rnacentral:rRNA from 1 species